rnacentral:rRNA from 1 species
AGUUAAAAGGCGCUUUGGCGUCACCUAGAGAUGGAUCCGCGGUGCAUUAGUUAGUUGGUGGGGUAAAGGCCUACCAAGACAAUGAUGCAUAGCCGAGUUGAGAGACUGAUCGGCCACAUUGGGACUGAGACACGGCCCAAACUCCUACGGGAGGCUGCAGUAGGGAAUCUUCCACAAUGGGCGAAAGCCUGAUGGAGCAACGCCGCGUGUGUGAUGAAGGCUUUCGGGUCGUAAAGCACUGUUGUAUGGGAAGAACAGCUAGAAUAGGGAAUGAUUUUAGUUUGACGGUACCAUACCAGAAAGGGACGGCUAAAUACGUGCCAGCAGCCGCGGUAAUACGUAUGUCCCGAGCGUUAUCCGGAUUUAUUGGGCGUAAAGCGAGCGCAGACGGUUGAUUAAGUCUGAUGUGAAAGCCCGGAGCUCAACUCCGGAAUGGCAUUGGAAACUGGUUAACUUGAGUGCAGUAGAGGUAAGUGGAACUCCAUGUGUAGCGGUGGAAUGCGUAGAUAUAUGGAAGAACACCAGUGGCGAAGGCGGCUUACUGGACUGUAACUGACGUUGAGGCUCGAAAGUGUGGGUAGCAAACAGGAUUAGAUACCCUGGUAGUCCACACCGUAAACGAUGAACACUAGGUGUUAGGAGGUUUCCGCCUCUUAGUGCCGAAGCUAACGCAUUAAGUGUUCCGCCUGGGGAGUACGACCGCAAGGUUGAAACUCAAAGGAAUUGACGGGGACCCGCACAAGCGGUGGAGCAUGUGGUUUAAUUCGAAGCAACGCGAAGAACCUUACCAGGUCUUGACAUCCUUUGAAGCUUUUAGAGAUAGAAGUGUUCUCUUCGGAGACAAAGUGACAGGUGGUGCAUGGUCGUCGUCAGCUCGUGUCGUGAGAUGUUGGGUUAAGUCCCGCAACGAGCGCAACCCUUAUUGUUAGUUGCCAGCAUUCAGAUGGGCACUCUAGCGAGACUGCCGGUGACAAACCGGAGGAAGGCGGGGACGACGUCAGAUCAUCAUGCCCCUUAUGACCUGGGCUACACACGUGCUACAAUGGCGUAUACAACGAGUUGCCAACCCGCGAGGGUGAGCUAAUCUCUUAAAGUACGUCUCAGUUCGGAUUGUAGUCUGCAACUCGACUACAUGAAGUCGGAAUCGCUAGUAAUCGCGGAUCCGCACGCCGCGGUGAAUACGUUCCCGGGUCUUGUACACACCGCCCGUCACCC